AUUUUGUUCAUUUUACUUUCAACUGGUGAUUUAGUUAUUUAUGACUGACUGAACACAAUGAACAAUGACCUCAUGUUCCCAAAUGAAAGCAUCUUUGAUUAAGGUACUACUACUAAAAGUUAUCACUACAAAAACAUUUUGCUUGCCCAUUCGAUCAGGAAACAGAAAUCUCAGUUUUUACUGGGUGAAAUGCUUAGAGUAGAGAGAAGUUUUAGGGGAGUUACACUGGAAGCAUUCAGAUAUCUUUUAGUUGAUUGGAAAGAGUUUCUCCUAUUUGUUAUGGAGCAUUGAGAGUGAGAAAUUGACCAUAUGAUCUCCCUUCAUAAUUUAAAUGACUUUGAUGUUUUCUCUUCUCUUCAAAGUUCACAGGGGAUUAUGUACUUUCACUUUUCUGGAAUUUUUAGAUUCUGGCUUAUUUUCCUGAAUGUGAUUUGCUAUGCAUGACCAUUUACCUAGAGCCUAUUCUGUUGAUUUAGUAAGCUACUUAUAAAAAGAAAAAGGAAGUAGAAAGAGGAAAUAUCCAAUCUGAUUGAUUUUUAAAAUCGAUGCAUAACUUGUUGGCUUGAGCUCCUAAAACUGAAACCAACUAUUCAAGAAGCGGUUUUGACUUAAGUCCAUAACAAAUUGGAGUAUGUCCAGUUUUGGUUGUUAGGUUUCUGUCUGAAAUUGUCUCCUCUUGGCCAAUCAAGUAAUUGGUCCAUUUUAAGUGGUAAUUUGCAUGUUAUCUUUUCUCCUGGCUCCUCCCAUUCCCAGGAGCUUAUGGUUUCAUAUUUUGCUCCAUCUUCAAUGGGGAUUCUUUUCACUCUUCCCUCACUCUUUUUUCUUAAAUUUCAAUGUGCCCUCCAUCAGUGACAAAGGACAUGGACUUGCUAUCAAUAUCACUUUGUUUUCUAAGAAUAUCCCUCAUCUUGAGGUAGAAAUGUACAGUAGCCUAGUUGAUGUGCAUUAUCUAAUUUUUACAGUGGCGCAUCAUCAUAUCUUUCUAUAAUGUAUUAAAUCUUGCACUUACGCUGUUGAAAUUGAAUUUUUGACCAAGUACUUGGUAAUUUCUAGGAAUUUGUAGUGAG
rnacentral:misc_RNA from 1 species